UCUGGUAGCGAUAGCAUGAUGGAAACACCUGUACCCAUCCCGAACACAGAAGUUAAGCAUCAUAACGGCGACGAUAGUGAGCAAUCGCGACAAUAGCAAGCUGCCAGUU
rfam:Coprobacillus sp. 29_1 genomic scaffold supercont1.15, whole genome shotgun sequence.